AUUGAACGCUGGCGGCAGGCCUAACACAUGCAAGUCGAACGAGUGGCGGACGGGUGUGUAAUGUCUGGGACUCUGCCUGGUAGUGGGGGAUAACGUCCGGAAACGGGCGCUAAUACCGCAAACUCUCAGAUGAGCCUAGGUGGGAUUGGCUGGUGGGUGGGGUAAAGGCCUACAAAGGCGACGAUCCGUAACUGGUCUGAGAGUAUGAUCAGUCACACUGGAACUGAGACACGGUCCAGCCUCCUACGGGGGGCAGCAGUGGGGAUUAUUGGACAAUGGGCGCAAGCCUGAUGCAGCCAUGCCGCGUGUAUGAGGAAGGCCUUCGGGUUGUAAAGUACUUUCAGCGGGGAGGCGUUACCCGCAGAAGAAGCACCGGCUAACUCCGUGCCAGCAGCCGCGGUAAUUC
rnacentral:rRNA from 1 species